CCUCUCACUGUCCCAAUUCAUCAUCUCUCAUUGCCUUCCUCAAACUUCCCUCUGCAGCCCACUCGCCAAUCUUGUUACCAUAUUGCCACCCCAUCUCCAUUCUCUUACCACCCAUCGGAGAUUGCCAAGCUAGGAUCGACUGGGUUAUUCAAAUUUCAUUUGUGUCCACAAAUUGCCCUCCAACUACCCCUUUAUUUUAAGCAAAAUGUCUGAACAAGGCUUGUUUAUCAUGGGUUAGAAAGAUAUAUACGUGAGGCUCUGCAAACCCAAUCCUUCUGACUGUAGCACAAAGGUUUGCCUGUGUCAAACUCUUAAUUUUUUCUGGUUCUGAAUUGCGAAAUUUGAUUGGGAUCUUGAGUUGGCCCUCAUGGUAGGGCUUUGUGAAGCUUAUUACUGGAGUUUUGUGAGUGUUCGGUAUGAAAAGUUAUGUCAAUGUACAUUAGUACGUCCCUAAUCAUUU
rnacentral:lncRNA from 1 species